GAAUGGAAUGGAAUGGAAUGGAAUGGAGGAAGCCGUCGGCGCUCUCGGAGCCGUGCAGAGGGCCGGGCCGGCCGGAGGGAUUCAAAGCGAGGGCUGGAGGAGAAAAAGCAGGUCAGCCCCGAGCCGCCAGCGUCACCCUGGCACGCAGCAGACGGCCUUCGAGGAAGCGGAGCGAGGGAUCGGCCGUGACGUCCCCGGGCGCACAGCGUGCAGUUGGCCACGGUGUGAGAGCUCCAGGAACGGCCGGCACCGAGCAAACGCUGCGGUGGCUUUGCUGGGGGUCCCGGGGGUGAGGAGGGCAGGGAUGGCCGUGGGGUGCUGCGUGUGGGGCAGAGCGGGGAGGGGUGGAGGGAGAGGACGGCGGAGGCUGCAGCAGCGUGUGUUGAUUUGGAGAGGUGAAACCAUCUCGUGUUGGUGCGGCUGCGUCCCCACAUGGCUCCAUCCGUGGGGUACGGCCCUCAUCCGUGGGGUACGGCCCUCAUCCGUGGGGUCACUCCAUCCCAUCCGUGGGUACGGGCGCAGCUCCAUCUCCGUAUGGCUCCAUCCGUGGGUACAGCUCCAUCCCUGCUGUCAUCUCAUCCACGGGUGCAGCUCCAUCAAUAGGAACAGCUCCAUCCAUGGAUGCAGCUCCAACCCUGCACAGCUGCAUCUGUGGGUACAGCUCCAUUCAUGGGUACGGCCCCAUCCCUGCUAUCACCCCAUCCAUGGGUA
ensembl:lncRNA